rnacentral:tRNA from 1 species
AUUUUUUUAGUAUAAAAGUAUAUUUGACUUCCAAUCAAAAGGUCUUAAUAAAGAAAAAAUA